UGGGGAAUUUUGGACAAUGGGCGAAAGCCUGAUCCAGCAAUGCCGCGUGUGCGAAGAAGGCCUUCGGGUUGUAAAGCACUUUUGUCCGGAAAGAAAUCCGCCUGGCUAAUACCCGGGCGGGAUGACGGUACCGGAAGAAUAAGCACCGGCUAACUACGUGCCAGCAGCCGCGGUAAUACGUAGGGUGCGAGCGUUAAUCGGAAUUACUGGGCGUAAAGCGUGCGCAGGCGGCUUUGUAAGACAGAUGUGAAAUCCCCGGGCUCAGCCUGGGAACUGCAUUUGUGACUGCAAGGCUAGAGUGCGUCAGAGGGAGGUGGAAUUCCGCGUGUAGCAGUGAAAUGCGUAGAGAUGCGGAGGAACACCGAUGGCGAAGGCAGCCUCCUGGGAUGACACUGACGCUCAUGCACGAAAGCGUGGGGAGCAAACA
rnacentral:rRNA from 1 species